CCUACGGGUGGCAGCAGUGGGGAAUAUUGGACAAUGGGGGCAACCCUGAUCCAGCCAUGCCGCGUGUGUGAAGAAGGCCCUCGGGUUGUAAAGCACUUUCAGUGAGGAAGAACGCCUGGUGGUUAAUACCCAUCAGGAAAGACAUCACUCACAGAAGAAGCACCGGCUAACUCCGUGCCAGCAGCCGCGGUAAUACGGAGGGUGCGAGCGUUAAUCGGAAUUACUGGGCGUAAAGCGCGCGUAGGUGGCUUGAUAAGCCGGUUGUGAAAGCCCCGGGCUCAACCUGGGAACGGCAUCCGGAACUGUCAAGCUAGAGUGCAGGAGAGGAAGGUAGAAUUCCCGGUGUAGCGGUGAAAUGCGUAGAGAUCGGGAGGAAUACCAGUGGCGAAGGCGGCCUUCUGGACUGACACAGACACUGAGGUACGAAAGCGUGGGUAGCAAACAGGAUUAGAUACCCGAGUAGUC
rnacentral:rRNA from 1 species